CUUGGUUCUCUGGCAAAGUCACAGCAUCCUUUUUAGCCUGACAUUUCCCUUUAGGAAGGACAGUAGAGUCUGGAGCUGAUUUUACUUUCCAUGCUUCGUUUAUUUCGACCAGUAAACGGGUUACAUCAUCAUAGAGGAGUUUCACUUUUCGUUCGUAAACAAUAACAACUCCACCCAUUAGAAUCCCAGAGAGCCUAAGCGCCAUUGGAACAGAGGGAUUCAAAAUCUGUUCACAGAUUUGAAUUAUGUUGAGCUUAUUAAGUUUCUUCCGAUUUAUUUUCGCAUGCAUGGUUGCAGCCAUCCUUUACACACACACAGAGAUUCAAGUUAAAACCCACGUAGUAUUACAGAGAAAACAACUUCAAAAA
rnacentral:misc_RNA from 1 species